rnacentral:rRNA from 1 species
AUUGAACGCUGGCGGCAUGCCUUACACAUGCAAGUCGAACGGCAGCGGGCCUUCGGGUGCCGGCGAGUGGCGAACGGGUGAGUAAUGCAUCGGAACGUGCCAUUGAGUGGGGGAUAACGUAGCGAAAGUUACGCUAAUACCGCAUAUUCUGUGAGCAGGAAAGCAGGGGACCGCAAGGCCUUGCGCUCUUUGAGCGGCCGAUGUCAGAUUAGCUAGUUGGUGAGGUAAAGGCUUACCAAGGCGACGAUCUGUAGCGGGUCUGAGAGGAUGAUCCGCCACACUGGAACUGAGACACGGUCCAGACUCCUACGGGAGGCAGCAGUGGGGAAUUUUGGACAAUGGGCGCAAGCCUGAUCCAGCCAUGCCGCGUGAGUGAAGAAGGCCUCGGUU